rnacentral:rRNA from 1 species
UACGGGGGGGGUAAGCGUUGUUCGGAAUUACUGGGCGUAAAGGGCUCGUAGGCGGCCAACUAAGUCAUACGUGAAAUCCCUCAGCUUAACUGGGGACUGCGUGUGAUACUGGAUGGCUUGGAUUUGGGAGAGGGAUGCGGAAUUCCAGGUGUAGCGGUGAAAUGCGUAGAUAUCUGGAGGAACACCGGUGGCGAAGGCGGUUCUCUGGGCAUGAUCUGACGCUGAGGAGCGAAAGUGUGGGGAGCGAACAGG